rnacentral:sRNA from 1 species
UUGAGGGGAAUGAAGCCUGGUCCGACGUC